GGCUACGCUGUUUCCGCUCGGGAGGAGGGAACGCGGGGCCCCGCCGCGCCUGCUCCUCAGCGAGCUGGGUCCGGCCUGGGCCCUUCCCCCGACCCCCGCAGCCUCGGGGCGGUGAGCCCGGCCAAUCCCCUCCUGUCGCGGGUCAGGCCAAGCCCACCUUGUCCCGCGCGGGGCGCUGCUGAGCCCAUCGGCUUCCUUCAAGGGGAAACCUGCACAGCCCGACACGUCCCACUGCGUCCUCAGUGCAUGUGCCGGCCCCGAUUGUACAUCACUGUACCAGAGCCUAAACCAGCCUGGGACCCUGCCUACAGCUUCCUGGAAACCUGCCUGGGAAGCUGCUUUGGUUGGCAGGAAGGUCAAAAGUAAAAAGGUGGCUAAGGUGACCAGACAGCAAAUGUGAAAAAUCAGGAUGGGGGGGUAAUAGGAGCCUAUAUAAGAAAAAGACCCCAAAAUCGGGACUGUCCCUAUAAAAUCAGGACAUCUUCUCACCCUAAAUGUGGCCAAAAACUGUGCUUUAAAUAUUCCAAUUCUAGGUUUGUGUGAGCAACCCGGAUGAGAAAAUGUUUUAAAGCAACCAUGUAAUUAGCUAGUGGGAAGGCCUGAUCGUGCACAUCACUUUACCCAGACACAGUGUACCUGCCUGCAGUAAAUUAUAGGAUCAGUAGAGCCCUGAAAAUCUGUGAAUGUUCAUGCAUGGGAAGAGAUACAAACUUUGUAUUUGCACAGGGCUCUAAGGCUCAGGGAUCUUGUAUGUGCAUUUUUCCCUGCACAGCUAUUCAUGCAGUAUAGAAGUUUCAAAGACUGAUUUUUUAAUAAAGAACUUGCGCACUUGAGGUGCAUGGUGCUCAUUUGCUUUAAAAAGCUAAACGCUGAAAUAUCCAUUUGCCUGUCAUAGCUGGUCAAAAGCUCGUCCAGCAUGAUCAUCAUCAGGAACCUGAAGUGGAACAUUGCAGAGGGAGAGAGACCUCCAUGGUUUGAGCAUUGGCCUGCUAAACCCAGGGUUGUGAGCUGGAUCCACUUAGGGAUCUGGGGCAAAAUCAGUAUUUGGUUCUGCUAGUGAAGGCAGGGGGCUGGACUUGAUGACCUUUCAAGGUCCCUUCCAGUUCUAUGAGAUAGGUAUAUCUCCAUAUAUAUUAUCCAGUUAGGAUGUUUUGAUGUAAAAAUGCAGCUAACCUUGCCAAAUGCGCAUUUGGCUUUUCUGCUUUGUCCUGCCAAUCACAGCUACUAGUAAAAGUGUAUGUCCUGCUUCUUUUCAUGGUGGUUGUUGGGUCAGGUGAGUAAAAGAUUUGCUUAGCAACAUUUUAAGGAUGCAUUUCCUUCAGAAAUUAAAAAAAAUCUUUCAGUGAGGAUUAAAGCAGAUUCUAGUGGGGGUAUAACUUUCGGCUGUGAUCCUGGAAAGACACACUUAACUUUAUACACUAUGAGCAGUGGCUGUGCACAAGUCUUUUUAAGAUUGGAAUCUGAGGUUUUUUGAGUAAUCCACUGUGAGAAUCAUAGUUGAAUGUCUGCACAAGGUUUAAUGGAGCUUCCAUAGUAUUCGCAAGAACGAUAUGUUGGAAGUAUUACAAGGAAACUAGAAUUUUCACUCUGCUUCUCCACUCAGUGAUUAAGAAGCCGUAAAAUCCAUGCAUUCUUUACAGUCCAGGACACAACUUUAUGGAUUGGUAUUUAAUAAACUUUCUCAAUCUGUUUUUUUUUUACAGAGUUAAAAAUGAGAACACAGAAGCCUGAAGCCACAAAGGGAAAGCAGCUGGUGUAUAGAAACAAAAUAGCACCAUAGUCCAGUAUCUCCCUGUAAGCUUAUUUGCAGCAAUUCUUGUGUGUUCAAUAUUGGUCUUAAGACAUUUAUUUGGAUUUCUACAAUAAUAAAAUUGAUCAGUGUUAUUUUCCUCAGUUAUCGCUACACCUGUGAUAUAAGUAAUGAAUUUAUCAGAUCACAUGAUACCUGUUACUGAGUGUAGUGUACUGAAGUGCAAUCUUCUCAUGUGGACAACUGCAAUAGUUUUAAAGCCCUGAUUAAGUGUUUUGCUGCAUUGCGGUCAAGAAGCCUGACUAAUUUUAUAAUACUCUUUAAAUUUUGCUUGUUUCUUCUAUUAAAAUGACUUAAUUUCUA